CAAGAAAUUCAAACUGCUGAGUGGCACAGCCACUCAGAGGAGCUCUUUGUUCUUCUAGCUGAGUCUCUGGUGGAACCGGAUGUCUUGAAGCCAAACCAUGCUUUGGUCCAUUCUGUCACUCCCACUUACCAAUUAGACACCCGGAGUCCCUCUACCACCUGCCACUCUGCAAGGCACGUCCAGCUGUCCUGAUGUGGGAGAGAGAUGGGGAAGGCUGAGCUCUCCCAGCCUGGAAGAAGGUAACAGAGAUGAUGAGCUCCCCAGAGAUAAACACAUACUUCCAGGAUGUCCGUGCAUCUAAGGAGCACGAAACCCACACAUGCUAGAGACACAGAGUGAGGUGAGUGCAAGGGGCAGCAGUUAGGGCAAUCCAAGAGGCAGGGCUCAGACAAAAGCAGACCAAGGGAGGGCAGACCAGGAGAAGGCCAAGCAGCAUCUGUUAUCCCCUUGCUGUGGCUUGAUGUCUUCUGACCAAGGAGAUCCCUGUCCUGAGGGAAGGAUUCCAGGACCAGAUUCAGUGCAGAGUAUCUGAGAUGCUUGUAGUGAGAGCAUCCAUGCCAGGCUGCCCCUACUUGUUCCACCUGGGCUUUAACUGGGUUCCCAAGGCUCCGGCACUUUCCCAAGCUCUCCGAUGUUUGGUUUGGAUGUUUGGAGGGGUCAAG
rnacentral:lncRNA from 1 species